rnacentral:rRNA from 1 species
UACAGGGGUGCAAACGUUGCUCGGAAUUAUUGGGCGUAAAGAGCUCGUAGGCGGCUUGUCACGUCGGGUGUGAAAGACCGGGGCUUAACCCCGGUUCUGCAUUCGAUACGGGCUGGCUAGAGUGUGGUAGGGGAGAUCGGAAUUCCUGGUGUAGCGGUGAAAUGCGCAGAUAUCAGGAGGAACACCGGUGGCGAAGGCGGAUCUCUGGCCAUUACUGACGCUGAGGAGCGAAAGCGUGGGAGCGAACAGG